ACGCCAAAACCUUCCCAACAUAAUUUUACAUUUUCUUGUGUACUACAGUAAUUUUUUUGCCACAUAGGAGUAACUUCUCUUGAAAUCAAUAACCUAUUACAACCGUCAAUAGUAAAUUGCAAUAACAUCCGCUAUGCUUGCAGAAUAUUCCCAACACAAAACUCUCUAUAAAUACGGGCCAGACCAGUUUGCCAAAACUACUAUAAAGCAAAACUCUCUCUAUAGUGAUUUUAGAAACAUGAGUGGAGGAAUGGAGUCAAUGAGUAGUAGACUCUCUCAAAAAAUAGGCAACGGAGGAGCCAACGGAGAGCAACACACGAGGGAGUGGUGUGGGCACUUUCAGAUGCCACUGCACUAUCCUAGGUACACUCAAGCUGACUAUGAGACCAUGCCGGAGUGGAAGCUUGAUUGUUUGCUUAGAGAGUAUGGGCUACCAAUCAUUGGAGAUGUUGACCAUAAGAGAAAGUUUGCCAUGGGAUCCUUCUUGUGGCCUCAUUAGUCUUCAUAUUUAGGGGUUGUGAUGACUUUUGAUGCUAUUAUAUUUGCAUGAUUUUGUUAUCUACCUUUAAAUUUUUAUCUUUUGUCUUCUGUGAUGUACAUUAUUACAUUAGACAAAGAUUGAAUUUCUGGGGAAGUAGCAAAAGCAUACAUGGAAAUAGCAAUCUUGAAUCCAUAAGUAAUACUGUGGCAAGUAAAAAUUAGGUAUGUAUAUAUAAAUUUUAAUUGCAGUAUUGUGUCCUUUGUUUUGGUCUGUACCAGCUAGUAGUCUAGUAUUCCCUAUUUUCGGGGUAAUGUCUUGGGGUUUGAUGUGGGAAUUUUGAUAUUACUUAUGUAUGGACUGUGAGAGUUUGAUAAUAGUGAUAUUUGAGGAUUUAUCCCAACUUUUCAGUUAGAACUAGCAUAUUCUAAUAGGUGUUUUGCAAUUGGAGUGGAACUUGUUUUUGUGCCUAUACCAAUGUAGAAUGAUAGGAAAGAGAAGGUUAUGAAGGGUGUCGCCUAAUUGUAUUAUUA